UGAAAGUACGAAACGUGGUUGGUUGGGCUAGGGGAAUUCUGAAUGUUGAUUGGCUGAACUUCAAAAUUCAUAGUUUUAUGCUCUGGUUUCCACACUCUGUAUCGCUCGGACCUUUGAUACCGAGCGAUUAUAGGGUUGUGAAGUUUCAUGAAACUUUGGAAAAUGAAAUGUUUCAUGAAAGUUUCAUUGCUUCAUGAAACAUUUCAAAGUUUCAAGUUUUAAGCGGGAAAUUUCAAAUUCAAUGCAAGAAAGUAUAAUAAUUAACGCAUAUUUUGUUGUCAAAAACAUGAAGUAUUAUUACUUACUUUAAUAUCUUUCUUUAAUUUUUAUAAAUAAAAUAAAUAAUUAAAAAAUAUAUUAAUAAUUUAAUUUUAAGUCACUCGUUAGAGGUAAUAUUUCAGGUAAUUUUUAGUUAAUAUUAACAUAACUACUCUCGUGUUUUCGGAUGUAAACAAAAAAUUUUCAUUAAAUUGUUUCGAACUAACCUAAAAUUUCUAGAGAUUAUCUAACCUAAACUGACAACUGCGCAUGUGCAAAUAAAGCUUAAUUAUUGGUUCUUCAAUGUUUCAUGAAAUUAAUGAAACUUUCGCUUAUGAAACAUUGAAACUUUCAAAUGAAAGUUUCAUUGUUUCAAUGAAACGUUUCAUCACUCACAACCCUAAGCGAUACAGAGUGUGGAAACCAGAGCAUAAAACUAUGAAUUUUGAAGUUCAGCCAAUCAACAUUCAGAAUUCCCCUAGCCCAACCAACCACGUUUCGUACUUUCAGAGCGCUCAGAGUGUCAACGUCGAAAACACCCAAUAUAGAGUUUCUAUUGUUCAUACACUAGAGGUACUUCCCCUAUUUAUAAAAGUAAAAUGCUUGUGUUAAGUUAAAUAAAUAUGGAGACCGAAGCAUUAUGUUUGUGAAAAAGUUUCCGGAGUGACCUCUUAUCUGUUCUAAUUCUAUUUUUAUAAUCGAAGUAUUUUUAAUAUAGUUGAGAAUAUAUUAACAUAAUAUAAUAAAACCAAGUUAUAGCAGAUCAAACGAUACAAGCUGAGAGGAGAAGGAAGAGAGUUGAAGUCACAGAAGCAAGGGUGUAUUAACCCGGAGUUAACUCGGGGCGAGUGCCGAAAACAGCCGUAGGCGGGAGACCGAGGGCUAUGUCUUAAUCAGGACGUUAAAAAAGUUAAUCACAGUGUAUGUAUUUUAAACUUUUUAAAAUUAAAAAAAACAAAAUUCACCUGUCUCAAAAAUCAUAAAUAAGAAGGCAGGUUACCUACCUUAAAUAAAACUCUCAGAAUGAGUAAAGUGUGUGAAUUUUGCCAGUUGUCAUUUUUGAAAGGCAGUGAAUUUGAGCAUUUUAACGAUUGGAAACAUUUAAAGAUGAUUGGAGUUCUGAGGUUCCAUUGUGUAAUUUGUGAAUUAUCUAUUAUUGAUUAUGAAAAUUUUAGAAAUCAUGUAUUAGGAAACAGACAUAAAAAGAACGUUAGACUGAAAGAAAUAUAUUGUCGAGAUUGUGGUGAGUAUUUCUCUGAUGCUUAUGCACUAAGAGGACAUAUGCCGGUGCAUUCAAAUACAAUGGACAAAUUAACUUGUAAUAUUUGUCCGUGCACAUCCUUCGAAUAUAAUUUAAGAAACACUGCAUUGGAGAAGUACAUUUAAUAAAUGCUGAAAUUAAAAAAUUAUAUUGCGAAAUUUGCCAGAUUGCGUUCACUUAUUCUGCAUUUGCAGACCAUUUAUUAGAGAAAGAACAUUUAAUGAAAAUUGCAGCUCUGAAAAUAAAAGAUAUUAAAUUUGAUGAUAUAAAAAUUAUUUUGGACAAAAAUAAUACUUUCAGCGAUAACUUGGAAUUAUUUCUAAAAUCAGUUACGCCAAGUACUGAUGAAGUUAAUAGUUAUGAAAACAUUACAUUACACCUGGAUGAGUUAUUUGGUAGAUUUACAGAGAGUUUGAUGGAACAAUUUAGUUCAAGAGCUACAGGAUUAGGCUUGAAGACAGAUCCCUUGAAACUGUUCGUGAAUAUAGCUUUUUUUGUACCGACGUCACAGAAAACACAAUUUUCGAUCCUCCGAAAAUGUAAUU